UACAGUAACAACUUAGUCAUAGUUGACCCGACCUCGCCUAGCCCAUUGUGCAUUAUGAAAAGGAAAUAUUAUUAACCAUUUUCGUGGUCUCUAUUUGCUAAACGGUUUCAGAAUAAGAGCGGUUUUAUUACAAACACUGCCUUGACUUUGCUUGUCUCGAUGUGCUACGAAGCGUGAGUGCUUGUGUACACAUUACAUUACAUGCUGGAGUUUGAUCGCUUGUGUGUGAAAUCUUCAUUUUAGUAUAGUACGGCUCGAACGACUAGAUCUGCAAACGAAAGCAGAGUGUACUGGGGUAAUUCACUAUGGAAACUCCUUGGAUGAAAUGGAUACUUAUCAUCGAGCUCAUGGUAGCAAUUACAUCUAGAUCAGCUCUAGCUCAAAUUACUUUACCAGGACUCUUGGAAUGCUACACGUGUUCGUCGAAAGAUUCGGUGGGCUGCGGUGGAGAGUUUGACAGCAACGCAGAGGGCGUAUCAAAAGUAGUAUGCAAUGGAUACUGUUAUAAAACAACCUACGGCUACUACGGGGUGACAGAAGUAGACCGAGGAUGUGAGCCCUCUAGCGACUGUCCUGCGUCAUGUAUUGGAAAUGCCUGUUCAUACUGCUGCCAAGCUUCACUAUGUAACAAAGCAACCAUUAUGACGUCAUUCCCGCUGCUCGCAUUUUUUGUGGUUGGUUUCGCAACGCUGAAGAAUAUUUUCACAGAAAGAUUUGUUUAACGUGGCCUUGAUGUAGUAUAUCACUGUCUUCUGAUUUACAUUGUGGUAGGUUCGCUACGCUGAAUGAUAUCUUGUUUGUCACAGAAAGAUAAUAAGAAUUGAACUUUAAAGGAUAUUGUAGCUAUAGACUGAUGUUGAAUAUGCCUAGAUCAAUAUUGUACUUGUAAAGUAUUAUUGUGUAGUGCGGGUGAAUCAUCUGAUUCAUAACAGAUCGUUGUGAAAUUUCCAUAUAUCUUUUAAAGAAUUAAAUAGAUUAUUUAUGUAGCACAGUGUUAUAGCUGUUUAUUUUACUCUGUUUUGUGCGACGGUAUUGAUUUCAAAUCAUGCUUAUCAAAGAUUCCUUAAUUUGAGGUUCGUCAUAUGGUAGUGGCAAAUAGAACAGCAUUCGCAAUUCGAAAAUCAGCAGUGUUCAUUAUAAUAAGAAGAAAACAAAAAACAUCAUAGUUCAAAUCAAAAUAACCAAUGCUUAGCCUAUUUUUUUCUCGGAAAUAUUGCGUAAAUGGUUCGUUUUGGGAAAUAGUGAAGGUCUUGAAGCCAUGGAAAUGAAGAUGAAGUAAUUGCUGAAUAUCACACAAAAGUGAAAGAAGUUGUAGAUAAUAUUUGUCAUGUAGCAUCAGUCAUGUCUGUUGUGUCUCUCAAUACAGAAUGUCGUAAAAUGGGUUUCUGAUAAGAUUUAUUUCAUAGGACUUCUAAUUUUCUAAAUGUUAUUGAACACGACAGCAAGAGAUAAUCCAAGAGCAAUAAUACUUUACAAUGUACUUUGAAUAGUUUGAGGCACUUAGGAUUUAUCAAUAUCAGAGACCCGUACAACAAAAGUUUGCAACCAUUUGCAAAAUGACGAUGGAUUAUCAAAAUCAUCGUUGCAUGCACAUGUUGUUCAAAAGGCUGAUCAUUAGCGAAUCAGAAUCGUCGUUUUAAGUAUGAAUUUGAUCGCAGAACUUUGUGUUGCUGGGCCGAUAUAAGAGUGUUAGUGGAUAUAUUGUUGGUUUAUUGGUUAUUGAUGGUUUGUUUAUUACUUUACUCGAUUCUAAGAAAGCAUGUACAUAUAUAUAUAUAUAUAUAUAUAUAUAUGCAUGUAAGUAAGCAGAAAGGAAACCGACGGUUUUAAGUCCUCUCCGAGGGACUUGGUAAUGAAUAAUGAAUGCCUUACCAAAGGGCACGAGCGCAUUGACUUGGUUCCGAACCCGAGACCUCUCAGUUACACGUCCACUGCUCUACCACUGAGCCAUCGCGCCUCCUUGUUCGAGACAACAACAUUGGCAAAAAGGGUUUGUUCAUCUGAAAUAAUUUUUGCAUAUUAUUAAGAAUUGAAAUUAAAAUUGAUGAAUAUAGGGGCUGUAAAUGUAUUUUAAUCUCUCAAGAUUUUUGUUUAUCCGUUUUACGUUUUAUAUGCCAAGUUGUAGGAAAUCAGGGUCAUUAUUCAAGGAAAGUGCCAGUAUUGUGUUAGUUUCAUCAUUCCCCUCCUCUACACAAAUGCUAUGGCACUGCGGCUCUUUUUAUUUGCAUGUUCAUCCAUUUCACAUAAUAUUCAUUUUGCCACAUUUUUUUAAAAAAAAUCA
rnacentral:lncRNA from 1 species